UAUGGCGAUCCUUAACUCAUAUAUGAGCCUCGUUGUUUUUGAAGUUCAAGGAUAUAUUUUUGGUAUAUAAAUUAGUGGCCUAAAGCAAUUCGUCAAUGUUCUCGUACAAGAAACAAACACCAACCAUGUUCUACAAACUGUUUGCUCUGUUUGCUGCCCUGGCCGUGGCUUUCGCAGCACCGCGACCAAAUCCAGCACCCCAGCAGUUUCUGACUUAUACGUCGGACUAUUUGUACCCAGCGUCCGCCGGCGUGCCGUCCUUCGUGUCUCCGUACUCAGCUCCUCUCGCCCCUCUAACUUACUCAGCUUAUCCAUACGCAGCAAACACUGUAUUUGUUAAAUAAUUUCGAUGCUCAUUCAUCUACUUCAAUUCCGUUUAAUGC